AACGAACGCUGGCGGCAUGCCUAACACAUGCAAGUCGAACGAUACAUUCGGGUAUUUGUGCGCACGGGUUCGUAACGGGUGGGAACCUGCCCUUAGGGUCGGAAUAACUUCCCGCAAGGGGUACUAAUAGCGGACAAUGGCUACGGACGAAAGAUUUAUUUCCAUUGGAGGUGUCCGCUUUGAAUUAGCUAUUUGGUAGGGUAAAGGUCUACCAAGGCGACGUUCCAUAGCUGGUAUGAGAGGAUGAUCAGCCACCCUGGGACUGUGACACGGCCGAGACUCCUACGGGAAGCAGCAGUGGGGAACGUUGGACAAUGGGCGAAAGCAUGAUGCAGCAAGGCCGCGUGAGUGAUGAAGGCCUUAGGGUUGUAAAGCUCUUUUAACCGGGCAGAUAAUGACAGUACCGAGAGAAUAAGCGCCGGCUAACUACGUG
rnacentral:rRNA from 1 species